rnacentral:rRNA from 1 species
ACACGCAUGACACACUGCAUAUCAAUAAGCGGAGGAAAAGAAACUAACAAGGAUUCCCCUAGUAACGGCGAGUGAAGCGGGAAGAGCUCAAAUUUGAAAUCUUAAAGGGUUUCCCUUUACGAAUUGUAGUUUAAAGAAGUGUUUUCUGUUGGAGUUUCGGUAAAAGUUCUUUGGAAUAGGACAUCAUAGAGGGUGAGAAUCCCGUAUUUGACCAUUAUUUUCAGCUGUGUGAUACACUUUCAAAGAGUCGGAUUGUUUGGGAAUGCAGUCCAAAAUGGGUGGUAAAUUUCAUCUAAAGCUAAAUAUUGGCGAGAGACCGAUAGCGAACAAGUACCGUGAGGGAAAGAUGAAAAGAACUUUGAAAAGAGAGUUAAACAGUACGUGAAAUUGUCAAAAGGGAAGCGUUUGACACCAGUGUUGUUUAGUUGAAAAUCAAUUCAAUAGUUUUUGAUUUUAAGUAGUAUUGACUUCAUCAGCUUGCUGCUUUCUUCUCAGGAAAUUAUUGAAUGCACUUUUCAGUUAACAAGUCAACAUCAAUUUCUUUUGUUGUAAAAGGGUAAGAGGAAGGUGGCUUACGCUUCGGCGUAAGUGUUUAUAGCCUUUUACCUCUGCAAUCGGAGAGAUUGGGGACAGCAGCGUAGAUCCUUCGGGGUUAGAUACAUUUGUGCUAAGUUAUAGCUUUUCAUAGACAACUUGUUGACUAUGUUUAGUCUUGUAGCUUACUCGCUUAUGCUAUUUUACCUACGCUUAGGAUGUUGAGCGCAUGUCUCUCUCU